UACAGAGGGUGCAAGCGUUAAUCGGAGUUACUGGGCGUAAAGGGCGCGUAGGUGGAUAUUUAAGUCGGAUGUGAAAUCCCCGGGCUUAACCUGGGAAUUGCAUUCGAUACUGGAUAUCUCGAGUAUGGUAGAGGAAGGCGGAAUUCCCGGUGUAGCGGUGAAAUGCGUAGAUAUCGGGAAGAACAUCAGGGCGAAGGCGGCUUUCUGGACCAAUGCUGACACUGAGGCGCGAAAGCGUGGGGAGCAAACAGG
rnacentral:rRNA from 1 species